GGUUCUAUGGUGCAAUGGUUAGCACUCUGGACUUUGAAUCCAGCAAUCCGAGUUCGAGUCUCGGUAGAACCU
rnacentral:tRNA from 1 species